CGCGCGGGACCAGCAGGCACGUCCCCGCUUGGAGACUGUCUGGAGUCUGUCUGAAAUUGAUAACAAUUGGAGAUGGAGUUUUAAUUGGCAUCAGGAAGACGCUGGUUGGAAAUGGAUUUUUAUUUCUCGCGCUACUCCUAGAAAACACCUUCGCCAAAAAGAGUCUCCUUGCUGAGAUAUACAUGUAUUUUCUUUAAACGCUGUGAAAGUUUUUUCUCCUGCAGUGUGUCAGCAGCAGACAGCUCUUUAUUCCCAGGCUCUGCAGGGGAUCAUCCGUCAGCCUUGAGUUCAGGAGGAGUGCACCAUCCAGCCUGCACAAGGGCCUGAUCCAGUGUCUCACAAAUGACUGGUAUUGCAAUUAGGAAAGAGAUCCAGGGUUGUCCUGCAGCCUGUCAUGCCUCCAUGCCCUCUCUGUUGCAGUGUGACCGCCCCAUGGUCUGGCUGCCACUUCAUAACAACUCUAUUGCAGCAACUGCCUGGUGGAGAAUCUUAAGUGCAGAGUGGACGAGGAGGAAGAUGUCAUGCUAAGGAUGGGUUUUGGGGAGGAUGAUGCUGCUGUUGAUGCUCUCACUUUGUGCCUCUGUCAGUUGUGAUGCGUAACCACAGAGUGAGUGACAGUUGGGUCCCGAGGGAGAGCAGGGGGCCUGAGGAUUGUCUUCCACGUCACCAGCGCUCAGCACUAUGGAGUUACUACAAAAGGUGACGCGCAGAGGAGGAUUUGUGAAUGGACGCCGUGAUGUGUGCAGCUCACAGAUCAGAGGGUGCUGGGACCUCUUCUGCAGAUGCACCCCCCCCCACACACACACACACACACACACACACACACACACACACACACACACACACACACACACACACACACACACACACACACACUCUCUCCAGAUGAAUGGGGGUCUCUAAUAUCAGCUCUGUCACCAUGCAGGGCUCGCACCAAAUCCUCCAGCUUCCUGUGCCUUUCAAAACCCUGAAAGCCAGCCUCUGCUUUUUGGUGAUCCUGUAUGAUUUUGUUGUUGUUGUUGUCAUGCUUUAGAGGGCCUGGAAGCCGCCCUGUUUUUUGUUUUUAUCACGGCUCAGGCCAGAGCAGCAGCCGAAUGAGAGAUGAUUAGAACCGGGCCUAAUUACGCAAAGUGCAAAAAAUCCGAAAAGCAAAUUAAUCUAAAAAUACAUUUAAGUGAUUUGGAGAGUGACUUCCACCUGUGAUGUUCUUAAUUACGUGUAGUGUGUUGGAAAUGGGAGAACUGGUCAAAGCACCAAAAAUACAUGGUAAAUAAAAGACAUUUAGAUGAAUAAAAAGCAAUUAUUUGUCAAAUCAUGAAUAUUUUUGCAGCGUAAAACACGAACCUCUUUCUGAUUAGCGUGCGUAAUUUAACUUUUUCUAAAAUAUGCUACUGUACCAUGCUCAAUAUUCUACUUUCUACUUUCUACUAUGUAAACUAUACACUAUAUUCUAUUUAUAAGGUCAUUGCAUGAUUUACAACUUGUAUUUUUAAGUCUAAUUUGUCAUUUUUACGUCUAGUCAUCCAGAAAUCAUAGUUUACUCCAUUCUUUAUUCACCCUCCCGCAUGAUGUCUAUAUAAUUUCCGUGGUGUGUGCGUGUGUGUGCGCGUGUGUGUGUGUGUGUUUACAGAUGAAUCCUCUGUACUUUGAGGCUGCAGGCUCUUCUGGUGUCAGGCCUUUUAUAGGUUUUAAUAACUCCUAAUCCUUCUGAUCGCUCUGGCGAAGAUAAGUCUCAUUUGAAUGCGGAUUGUUCUUAAGGAGCGGCGCGUAUUUCUGCACAGCAACAUGUGCGCCACCCUGAGCGCAAUUAAGGCCUCAGCUAAAUUGGACGACGGCUAACUGAAUGCAGCUGAUCUCCCUUCAGAAGACUGCUCACAAAUAUGAGGAAGACGUGCACGUGCAGUCUUUGAUUUCUUAAUAAUUCCGUAAAAUAAGUCAAACUCCUGCAUGAAUUAACAUCAAGGCGAACACUGUUUAGUUGCUGAUAAAAAGUGAAGUUUCUGCAGGUUAAUGAAGUUGUGACCAAAUACAAACUGUAUUUAAAGUUUACUACAUUUAAAAUAGAUUUUGCCCGAGUGGAAAUAGUUAUUUUUUUAGAGCUAUGAUUAGUGUGUAAAUCCUAAACAGGCUGAUUAGGAGACUGAGAGGCUGGAGCAGGAGAUCAGGCUUUCUGAAUCAUUUAUUGACAAAAUACGGAAUUUUAAAUCGGAGAGAAACACGCCUUCCAGCUCUGAAUAACAACCAGGAGACAUACAAGUUAUAGCAAAACUAACACAGAAAAUAUGUUUGUAUUAUUCAUUUAGAAUUGUAAAUGAAGUCAAAACCUAAAUGAAGUGCGCAAAAAGAGAAAUGAAGGCUCAUAAAAACGCAUGGUUUACUAAAGUAUACUUUAAAUUGGAGGUACUUUAACAU